rnacentral:rRNA from 1 species
AUGAACGCAUCCGUCAAGCUGCAGCUCGCCGGGCAGGUGCGGCGCACGCGCUCGGGCGGGACGCCGGUGACGCCCAACCCGAUGUGGAAAGAGGAGUUCAUGUUUCUCGCGUCGGAGCCGUUCGACGAGCCCUUGCUCGUCACCGUGGAAGACCGCGUCGGGCCAGGCCGCUGCGAGCCGCUCGGGCGCAUUAUGCUGCCCCUCAACGCCGCAAUGCCGCGCCAUGACCACUUCGGCAAGCCCGUGGAGCCGCGCUGGUACAGCCUUGCGCGCCCCAACGACGAAGGCGAGAAGAAGGAGGGCAAGUUCGCGAGCACGAUACAGCUUCGGAUGUCGCUGGACUUUGGCUACCAUGUUCUUGACGAGUCGACUUACUACAGCAGUGAUCUCCAGCCAUCAUCAAAGCACACCCGGAAGCCGAGCAUUGGUAUCCUUGAGGUGGGGGUUCUAGAUGCACGCAACUUGAUUCCCAUGAAGGCCAAGGAUGGUCGCAGCACUGACGCUUACUGUGUUGCCAAGUAUGGUCCGAAAUGGGUGCGCACAAGAACUAUCAUGAACACCCUGAAUCCCCAGUGGAAUGAGCAGUAUACCUGGGAGGUGUUUGAUCCUUGCACUGUGAUCACAGUGGUGGUGUUUGACAAUAGCCAGAUUGGGAGCAAGAAUGGUGAUGCCCGAGAUGAAAGUAUUGGCAAGGUCAGAAUUCGUCUCUCGACACUGGAGAAUGACCGGGUGUACACCCAUUUCUAUCCUUUGCUAGCUCUUAAGCCAAGUGGCCUCAAGAAGACCGGGGAGCUGCAUUUGGCUGUGCGGUUUACUUGCACGGCAUGGGUGAACAUGAUGGCAAUGUAUGGCCGUCCGCUGCUGCCGAAAAUGCACUACUCACAACCAAUAUCAGUGAUGCAGUUGGACUACCUGAGGCACCAGGCGAUGCAGAUUGUUUCGACAAGGCUUAGUCGUGCUGAGCCUCCUCUGCGCAGGGAGGUGGUCGAGUACACGCUCGAUGUGGGCUCGCACAUGUUCAGUCUCCGGCGCAGCAAGGCCAACUUCUAUCGCAUCACCUCUUUGUUAUGUGGUUUUGCCUCAAUGGCCAAGUGGUAUGAUGGCAUCAGGAGCUGGCGAAACCCCAUCACAACAAUGCUGGUGAACAUGUUGUUCCUCAUACUGAUCUGCUACCUGGAGCUCAUCAUGCCUAUCAUCUUCCUCUACAUGUUUAUGAUCAGACUGUGGAACUAUCACUUCCGGUCAAGGCACCCACCACACAUGGAUACCAAGCUAUCGCAAGUAAACUGCGGGUUGAUUCGUCACAAAGGCAGGGGGCUAAGUGCAAAAUGCCGGGCGCUGACCAGCCAGGCCACUUGGCAUCCACUUGGCGAGUUUUGA